rnacentral:rRNA from 1 species
UACGUAGGGGGCAAGCGUUGGCCGGAUUUAUUGGGCGUAAAGAGCGUGUAGGCGGUUUGGUAGGUCCGCUGUGAAAACUCGAGGCUCAACCUCGAGACGCCGGUGGAAACCAUCAGACUAGAGUCCGGAAGAGGAGAGUGGAAUUCCUGGUGUAGCGGUGAAAUGCGCAGAUAUCAGGAAGAACACCCGUGGCUAAGGCGGCUCUCUAGUACGGUACUGACGCUGAGGUGCGAAAGCGUGGGGAGCAAACAGG